UCAUGAUGAUGAUGAUGAUGAUGGUGAUGGUGAUGGUGAUGAUGAUGAUCAUCAUCAUCAUCAUCAUCAUCAUCAUCAUCAUCAUCAUCAUCAUCA
rnacentral:pre_miRNA from 1 species